rnacentral:rRNA from 1 species
GCAUAUCAAUAAGCGGAGGAAAAGAAACUAACAAGGAUUCCCCUAGUAACUGCGAGUGAAGCGGGAAAAGCUCAAAUUUAAAAUCUGGUAGCCUUCGGUUGCCCGAGUUGUAGUCUGGAGAAGCGUUUUCCGCGCUGGACCGUGUACAAGUCUCUUGGAACAGAGCGUCAUAGAGGGUGAGAAUCCCGUCUUUGACACGGACUACCAGUGCUUUGUGAUGCGCUCUCAAAGAGUCGAGUUGUUUGGGAAUGCAGCUCAAAAUGGGUGGUAAAUUCCAUCUAAAGCUAAAUAUUGGCGAGAGACCGAUAGCGAACAAGUACCGUGAGGGAAAGAUGAAAAGCACUUUGGAAAGAGAGUUAAACAGUACGUGAAAUUGCUGAAAGGGAAACGCUUGAAGUCAGUCGCGUCUUCUAGUACUCAGCCUUCCUUUUGGUUGGUGCAUUUACUAGUCGACGGGCCAGCAUCAGUUUUGGCUGCGGGAUAAAGGUCAGAGGAAUGUGGCACCCUCGGGUGUGUUAUAGCCUUUGGUCAUAUACCGUGGCUGGGACUGAGGAUCUCAGCAUGCCUUUAUGGCGGGGGUUCGCCCACCUUCAUGCUUAGGAUGCUGGCGUAAUGGCUUUAAACGACCCGUCUUGAAACACGGACCAAGGAGUCUAACAUGCCUGCGAGUGUUUGGGUGGUAAACCCGAGCGCGUAAUGAAAGUGAAAGUUGGGAUCUCUGUCGUGGAGAGCACCGACGCCCGGACCAGACCUUCUGUGACGGCUCCGCGGUAGAGCAUGUAUGUUGGGACCCGAAAGAUGGUGAACUAUGCCUGAAUAGGGUGAAGCCAGAGGAAACUCUGGUGGAGGCUCGUAGCGAUUCUGACGUGCAAAUCGAUCGUCAAAUUUGGGUAUAGGGGCGAAAGACUAAUCGAACCAUCUAGUAGCU